CGCGUAGGAACCUGCCCAGUAGUGGGGAGUAGCCCGGUCGAAACCGGAAUUAAUACCGCAUACGCUCUACGGAGGAAAGGGGGCGUUCGGCUCUCGCUAUUGGAUGGGCCUGCGUGAGAUUAGCUAGUUGGUGAGGUAAUGGCUCACCAAGGCGACGAUCUCUAGCUGGUCUGAGAGGAUGACCAGCCACACUGGGACUGAGACACGGCCCAGACUCCUACGGGAGGCAGCAGUGAGGAAUUUUCCGCAAUGGGCGCAAGCCUGACGGAGCAAUGCCGCGUGAAGGAAGAAGGCCCGUGG
rnacentral:rRNA from 1 species